rnacentral:rRNA from 1 species
GAUGAACGCUGGCGGCGUGCCUAAUACAUGCAAGUCGAGCGAAUGGAUUAAGAGCUUGCUCUUAUGAAGUUAGCGGCGGACGGGUGAGUAACACGUGGGUAACCUGCCCAUAAGACUGGGAUAACUCCGGGAAACCGGGGCUAAUACCGGAUAACAUUUUGAACCGCAUGGUUCGAAAUUGAAAGGCGGCUUCGGCUGUCACUUAUGGAUGGACCCGCGUCGCAUUAGCUAGUUGGUGAGGUAACGGCUCACCAAGGCAACGAUGCAUAGCCGACCUGAGAGGGUGAUCGGCCACACUGUUACUGAGACACGGCCCAGACUCCUACGAGAGGCAGCAGUAGGGAAUCUUCCGCAAUGGACUAAAGUCUGACGGAGCAACGCCGCAUUAGUGAUAAAGGCUUGCGGGUCUUAAAUCUCUUUUGUUAGGGAAUAACAAGUGCUAGUUGAAUAAGCUGGCACCUUGACGGUACCUAACCAGAAAGCCACGGCUAACUACGUGCCAGCAGCCGCCGUAA